rnacentral:rRNA from 1 species
CAGUCGCCGCGGGAAUACGAAGGGUGCAAGCGUUAAUCGGAAUUACUGGGCGUAAAGCGCGCGUAGGUGGUUUGGUAAGAUGGAUGUGAAAUCCCCGGGCUCAACCUGGGAACUGCAUCCAUAACUGCCUGACUAGAGUACGGUAGAGGGUGGUGGAAUUUCCUGUGUAGCGGUGAAAUGCGUAGAUAUAGGAAGGAACACCAGUGGCGAAGUCGACCACCUGGACUGAUACUGACACUGAGGUGCGAAAGCGUGGGGAGCAAACAGGAUUAGAUACCCCAGUAGUCCCUGUCUCUUAUAC